GCUCCGCCGAGUGGGUCCUCACCGGUGCUGAGUCUCCAGGCCGUGGCGCGCGCGGUUGGCCUCCUCCAGGUGGCGCUGCAGCUCCUCCUGCCGCUCCCGGUCGGCUGCCUCCUGCUGGCACAAGCGCUUGUUCUCCAGCUGAAGCCGCAGGAGCGUCUCCCUGCCAAAUGGGAUGGAGUGGGCAGGGCUGGGGAUGGGUGACCCCUCAGGCCCUGCCCGGGUUCCGGCAGGGAGACUAGAUGAAUGGGGCCAGAAGAGGGACAGCGUCCUCGGCAAGAGCCCAGCCAGACCAGUGGUAGAAUUGGAGUACGGGGGACCAAUGCCUAGGCGUCAGUGGGCGGAGCACCGAGAGAGAGAAGCAAGGGCCUGCGCCUCCUGGGCCAGGCUGGUCAGUGCCUGGUUCCGCUGUUGCAGCUCCAUGACCUCUCGCUCCAGCUCAGCACAGCGCAGACGUUCAUCCUCCCUGCCGUUCUCCAGCCUGGAAAGUAAGGGGAAGUGUCAAAUGAGGGUGCUGGGUCUGCCCCAAGUCCUGCAGCCUGCUGGCCCUGUCCCUGGCUGACCAUACCUGAAGUUCUCCUCCUGCAGCUGCUCCAGCUGGGACUGCAGCAGCAGCAGCUUCUUGGUGGUGAGGCCAGUGGUGCCCUCACCCUCUGGCUGGCCCACCCGCUCCCUCAGCACUGCGUUCUCCUGAGCCAGGCUCUGCUUCUCCUCUGACAGCAGUACCAGCUGCAGGCAGGAUAUGCCAAUGAGCUGGGGCGGGGAGGAGGGCUAGGCAGGCCACCCUGCUCUGGGAGCAUCUGUGGACCCACCCUCGGCCCCACCUGCCGCUCCAGGUCCAGACACCGCUGCCGCAGGUCAUCGCCCUCAUCAGCCUCCUCACUCAGGAAGUAGUACCUGCGUGACUGAUGAGAGGAGUGGAGGAAUGAGGUUGGGAAGAGGCAAGAAACUCAGGGAUCUAGGGGAGGGGGUUGGAGGAAGGGAGGCUGGGAUCUCCAGGGGCAGAGAGGAGGGAGCCAAGAAACCCUCAUAAUCUAAGAGAGUGCUGGGAACCGAGGGGACUGGAGGAAAGGCAAUUCGGGAACCCGGAGGACCUGGCAAGGGAAGCAGCUAGGACCCUGGGGGAUGGGAGUGGUUUGCAGGCUUAAGGUCAAACCCUUCCUCCUUAGGCAGCCUGGAAAAUCAGUAAUGGACCUUUAACAAGGUCCCCACCCCUUACCUGGCUAUCAAAGUUCCCAUAUGUGUCCGAUGACAGAGAGUCAGAGAUGUCUUUGCUCAUGAGCUGCAGUGGGGUGUGGACAUUGAGAUGAGCUGAGCAUUCUGAGGACAGCCUCCAAAGGUUCUAAAAUCCAGACUAAGGACCUCCUCAUUCUCUGGUCCCCAAAGCCAGUUCUCCCCAAUGGCCCCAGCCCAGAGGCUGCCCCAUGUGUCCAACACGCAGGGAGGCCUGGUCUUUUCAGCUUGCUAGGUUGUGACUUGGAGCUGGCAUACACAUGAGACAGGGAAAUCGGACCAGCUGAGUUCCACAAAGAGCCCGGACCUUACCAGGGCAGAGCCUGUUUGUGCCCAGCUGCCUCUGCCCUGGAGAUGUCCACUCCCCUGAGGUUCCUUGUCACAUUGGAUACCCCCACCUACCUCCUGGAUGGCUUCCAUCACCACAUGCUGAACUGAUUCUUCAAGUGUCAUGAUUCUCUGGAUGUGCUCUGGGGAUCAAGGUGGGGGAGGCUGAGAUGGGGGCCGGUGGGGAGAGACAAGGAGGAUUUUUUCAGGUCUUCCCCUAGGGACCUCCUAACCUCCCAUACCCUGCUUUUUCUCGCAACUGAUGGCACAGCCCAGAACCAGCUGAAGCAGCUUGCCAAGCUCUUCUGGGUCUGAGAACUCGCCAAUGAGGCUCACAUCUGGAAGGUGCUGCUCCAAAAUGGGAUGCCCCAGGACCUGAGGAUCGGGGGAGGAAGGGGUAUCAGGGGCUCAUGGAUCUCCCCUCCUCCCAGCCCAACCCCCUAAGUCCCUUUAUAGUUACUCACAUCCUGGGAGUACUCCACCAGGCUCUGUAAGAUUGUCUUCAGAUUGGUGACCUGGGGAGGGGCAAGGAGUUGUGUCCAGGGUCCCAAAGUCCCCCAGCCGGGGCCAGGCAGCCCCCCACCCAGAAUCUGUCUACCCCAUCCUUUUUUUCUGUGUCUCACCUCCUAAUCCCUGGACUUCUCACUCUGUUUGGCCCCAUUCUCUGAAUGUCCCCUCUCUGAGGAGUGACCUGUCUGGUGGCCUACCCUUCUUAUCCAUGUUCCCAUGUCUCCUGAAUUCAAUCACUUCUCACCAUCUGCCCCACCACCCUUUGACCCUGGCCACCAUCCCCUCUCACCCGGAUUACUGCACCAGCCCCAACUCAGCUUCCGCUCUUGCUGCCUACCCUCUAUUCCUCUACAAGCAGCCAGGGGGAGCUUUUUGAAGCCCAAGCCAGGUUUAUGUCUUUCUGCUACUAAAAUUCUUCCCUGACUUUACAUACACUUAAAAAUAGAAUCUACCUCCCUGCCUAAGACUUCCAGGCCCCUGAUGACCUCAUCUACCAUUCCUGCCCCCCUUGCUUUCUGUUCUGACCUCCCUUCCAUUCCUUGACCACACCAAGCUUAUUUGCAACUCAGGGCCUUUGCCGUUGCUGUUUGCUGUGUCUGAAAUAUCAUUCCUCCAAAUCUCACAUGGAAAUCAGCCCAUCUGAUCCCACCCACUCCCAGGUGCUCUCUCUCGGCCCAGUUUUUGUUAUUGACAUAAAAUUGAUUACCACCAGAAGUCAAUGUUAAUGUUUGUGUAUGCAGGUUUGUACCUGUGUCAUUUCUUGCUGCACACUCAGGCCUACUUAAUAUAAGAAUAAAGGAACAGAAUCAUAGUUGGCUAAUCACCACCAUACAUCUCUCCCUCUUCCUGUCCAGGUCUGUCUGUCCGUCACCAAGGACUUGUCUAACUGACCCUUCCCUGGUCAUCUCUUCACCAGUCUGUCCCCCAUUCAUAAGUCCACCUGUCACCUUCAGCCUGCAGUUGGGACUUGGGUCGUCUGAGAUGCCCUGGAGCCAUGCCUCGUUGAACCAGGAAGGGUCUCUGGGGGCGAGAAUGUGGGAUGAGCUGCUGGGGGUCCCUUUUGGGACCCUCCCCCUCAGCCCCACUCACAUCUGGUUCAGCACAUGGGCUACUGCAAGGCCACUGCUCAGGUCCUGGGGGCUGGUACAGGGGGGCGGGACGUGGAACAUCUGCAACUGGGUGGGGGAGAGGAAAGCGCAACAGGUAAAAUCAGGGCCUGGGACCACGGAACCACACCCUUUUUGCAAACUUUUCAGUCCGUAGGAAACUCACAGGGUUGGGCAGGGGGUUGGCCUUUUGCUCCAGCAAGCAGCUCUGUGGGG
ensembl:lncRNA